GACGAACGCUGGCGGCGUGCUUAACACAUGCAAGUCGAACGAUGAAGCCGGAGCUUGCUCUGGUGAAUUAGUGGCGAACGGGUGAGUAACACGUGAGUAACCUGCCCUUGACUCUGGGAUAACUGCUAGAAAUGGUAGCUAAUACCGGAUGCGACCCUCGGAGGCAUCUCCAGGGGGUGGAAAGAAUUUCGGUCAAGGAUGGACUCGCGGCCUAUCAGCUAGUUGGUGAGGUAACGGCUCACCAAGGCGACGACGGGUAGCCGGCCGGAGAGGGUGGCCGGCCACACUGGGACUGAGACACGGCCCAGACUCCUACGGGAGGCAGCAGUGGGGAAUAUUGCACAAUGGGCGCAAGCCUGAUGCAGCAACGCCGCGUGAGGGAUGACGGCCUUCGGGUUGUAAACCUCUUUUAGUAGGGAAGAAGCGAAAGUGACGGUACCUGCAGAAAAAGCACCGGCUAACUACGUGCCAGCCGCCGCUGUAA
rnacentral:rRNA from 1 species